GUUGAUAGGCCGGAUCUGGAAGCCCAGUAAUGGGUGGAGGUGACCGGUACUAAUAGGCCGAGGGCUUGUCCUC
rnacentral:rRNA from 1 species